rnacentral:misc_RNA from 1 species
CCCCUUGAGACAUUUCAAUGCAAGAUUAUCUAAAUAACUUGCUCUCACAAUCCUUCACCUGCCCUUUGCAGAACCCUACGAAGCUCGUCAGCGAUCCCUCGUAAGAGAACAGGCUUUCGAAUCACUCCAUUCAUUCCCAUCUGUAGGCAUCUCUCCCAAACAUUAUCCUCGGCACUGGCAGUCAAGGCUAUAAUCAAUGGCCAAUUACGACUUCGGAACUUUCGGAUUCUCAUUGCCACUUCAAAGCCAUCCAUUUCAGGCAUCUGAAGAUCCAAAAUAACAACUCCAAAAGAAUUUUCAGCAGAACUAAGAGCACUAAGGCAUUCAAAUCCAGAUGAAACAGCAAUCACUUCACAACCUAACUUCUCAAGCAGCUUCUUGGUCACAGUCCUAUUAACAUCAUCAUCAUCAGCAAAUAUAACCCGGAGGCCUCUGAACAUAGAAUUGGAAUUAGGUUGUUCUGAGGCAGCUCCAUAGGCAAAUAUGGCUCUUCCAUAAGAAGGUCGGAUUUGAAACCUGAGAAUCAAAGUCAUGCUUUGUGCAAAACCCAGAGAGUUCUGAGAUAUCCAGAUAUUACCUUGCAUCAUCUGCACAAGCUUUUUGCACAUGCUGAAGCUCAAGCCUUCCUUAACUUCAUCACCGUUUUGCCUUCUUCCAGAAGAAUGUGUGGUUGAGACUGAUCCAUCUGACAAAGAACUUCCACCCUUAAUCUCGAUCUCAAACUUGAUGCACACAUACUCCUCAGGAGCAUUUGGUUUCCACAUCCCCAACAUUCUAUCAUUCUUGCCCUCACUACCACUCUCCGAGAAAACCCGAAAUAUGACAGUCCCACCUCCAUCAUAGGCAUUCAAUAGAUAUCCAACCAUAUGCAGAAUCACUUGAAAAGCCCUCCGCUCAUCCCCUAUCACUAAAUCAGGCAAAGAACUCUGAACGUCAAUUUCAAAACCAAAGCCUUUAUACACACAAAAGCACUUAGCAAGACAAGAAGCUUCCUUGAUCAUAGAGUGUAAACGGAAAGGCCUCACUUCUAAUGAAAACCUUCCAUUAUCUUUUGC